rnacentral:rRNA from 1 species
UACGAGGGGGGCAAGCGUUGUUCGGAAUUAUUGGGCGUAAAGGGUGCGUAGGCGGUCCUACAAGUCUGAUGUGAAAUCUCUGGGCUCAACCCAGAGUCUGCAUCGGAAACUGUAGGGCUUGAGUAUGGGAGAGGUGAGUGGAACUCCGAGUGUAGAGGUGAAAUUCGUAGAUAUUCGGAAGAACACCAGUGGCGAAGGCGACUCACUGGCCCAUUACUGACGCUGAGGCGCGAAAGCGUGGGGAGCAAACAGG